rnacentral:rRNA from 1 species
AUGAACGCUGGCGGCGUGCCUCAUCCAUGCAAGUCGCGCGAACAGACGAGGAGCUUGCUCCUCUGACGUUAGCGGCGGACGGGUGAGUAACACGUGGAUAACCUACCUAUAAGACUGGGAUAACUUCGGGAAACCGGAGCUAAUACCGGAUAAUAUAUUGAACCGCAUGGUUCAAUAGUGAAAGACGGUUUUGCUGUCACUUAUAGAUGGAUCCGCGCCGCAUUAGCUAGUUGGUAAGGUAACGGCUUACCAAGGCAACGAUGCGUAGCCGACCUGAGAGGGUGAUCGGCCACACUGGAACUGAGACACGGUCCAGACUCCUACGGGAGGCAGCAGUAGGGAAUCUUCCGCAAUGGGCGAAAGCCUGACGGAGCAACGCCGCGUGAGUGAUGAAGGUCUUCGGAUCGUAAAACUCUGUUAUUAGGGAAGAACAAAUGUGUAAGUAACUAUGGACGUCUUGACGGUACCUAAUCAGAAAGCCACGGCUAACUACGUG